rnacentral:misc_RNA from 1 species
GUUUUAUCUGAAGACAUUUAUUAAUUCUGCCUGUGCCCACUUCUUAGGAAGUUGCUUCUAAAGAAUUGGCGCUUGCUAGGUUGCAUUUUUUGACUUUCAAUUCACAUUCUUUUUUCUAGGAAAUGUGCUGAUUACUUUGAUGAAUCAUGUUCAAUUCAAGUGCCAACUUCUCAGAAAAUAUGUUUACAAUAUGAUACUAAUUUAUCACUCCUUAGGUUUUUUAGGGUAUAAAGGUUAAUG